CAGGUGUGCCUCAGUAUCUCAUCAUUUUGUUUGUAGACAUUUUUUUUCUUUAGUUCCCUGGUUCAUUCUGGUUAUUUUCAUCUGACGUCAGGUCAACUUUGCCUGUUGUUUGUUGUAGCGUUCUGUUUCUCUGUGUUUAUUUGCUACUUUGGAACCUUUUUUGUGUCAUUUUGUCUUCCUCUUUUAUUGACUUCUCUCAGUCUCGUCAAAUCUAGGCGUGCGGCCUUGUGUACAAGAAUUUCUCAAACAUCCGUGGCUGGAUCUGCGAGACGGGAAAGCCUGGCAUUCGCUUGCACUGUCGAAAAAAACCCUGCACUUAUCUUCUUAUGGUCUUCAAGCAGCGGUUUCUGGGAGGUGGGGUCCUGCCUCAUGCAAAUAAGCCACUGCUCAACCCGCCAUCCUCAAUUACACAAUGUGGUGAGGGUCACCAGUGAGCAGGAGUCUAUCCGUACUGAGAAGAGGUAGAUUUCUCAGACUGGGUGCCAGUCACUUGUAAGGCGAUUAUAUCAGCAUCUCAGGCAGUCAACACCGACCGCGCACAGGCCGGACAGAGAAGGAGAAAUGUAGCAGGGGAGAGAGAAGGACAUUCAGCGUGAACUUGGUGCCAAAGAUGGAGAAAAAUCUGAAAAUGACAGAUAAAGGAAGAGAAUAUUUGGAACAAAUAGUGCUUAAAACGGAAUGGCCAGAGUCAUUUUUUUUGUUUGAACUUCUCAGUGGGAGGUUCCAACAAGGAGCACUUAUUAAAAGUGCUCACAUGUGGAGCGCCAUUAUGAACCAAAACCUAGUGUGAGACUUCUCUCUUGUGUCAAGAUGAUGAACAGAAAAGGGAAAACUUGAAACUUUUCUAUAGUUAAGAACUUUAUUUGAAUGUGUCUAGUUUUCACCUUUUAUGUAUUUGCUUCCCGCGACCCUUGUGAGGAUAAGCGGCUAAGAAAAUGGAUGGAUGGAUUUAUUUACGUGCUCUUAUUUUGAAAUGCACUUACUAAAUCAGAGAAUGUUAUGCAGAUGUGCUCAGAAGUUUGAUUACCUGCGCAGAAUAUGUAACGUGUUAUUCUUUAAAGUCAACAUGAACCAUCAGGUACAACAUUUCAUUUUCUUUUUAAUGGGAUUUAAAUUAAACUUUAAGGCAUUUCAGAUGAGCACAAUCGUGAAACAAGACAAAGAAAAUAAUGAUGAGAUAUUCCUUGUUUAGUCAUAUUUGUAUCUAUAUUCUGCCACAGUAUAUAAACUGCACAACUGUAUA